rnacentral:rRNA from 1 species
UACCUGCGCCCCAAGUUGAAUCCACUUUUAUUGGGCCUAAAGCUGCAGUAGCCGGUCUGGCCAGUCUUCGGUGAAAUUCACUAGUAAACUAGUGAGCUUGUCGGAGAUACUGCCAGACUUGGGACCGGGAGAGGGUAGGGGUACUCCUAGGGGAGGGGUAAAAUCCUAUAAUCCUAGGGGGACCACCGGUGGCUAAGGCGCCUACCUAGAACGGUUCCGACGGUGAGGAACGAAAGCUAGGGGAGCGAUCGGG